CCUACGGGUGGCAGCAGUGGGGAAUAUUGCACAAUGGGGGCAACCCUGAUGCAGCGACGCCGCGUGAGUGAAGAAGUAUCUCGGUACGUAAAGCUCUAUCAGCAGGGAAGAAAAUGACGGUACCUGACUAAGAAGCCACGGCUAACUACGUGCCAGCAGCCGCGGUAAUAUGUAGGGGGCCAGCGUUAUCCGGAUUUACUGGGUGUAAAGGGAGCGUAGAGGGCAGCACAAGUCUGGAGUGAAAUCCCGGGGCUUAACCCUGGAACUGCUGUGGAAACUGUGCGGCUGGAGUGCAGGAGGGGUAAGCGGAAUUCCUAGUGUAGCGGUGAAAUGCGUAGAUAUUAGGAGGAACACCGGUGGCGAAGGCGGCUUACUGGACUGUAACUGACGUUGAGGCUCGAAAGCGUGGGGAGCAAACAGGAUUAGAUACCCGAGUAGUC
rnacentral:rRNA from 1 species